AACUUUUGGCAAUGGAUCACUUGGCUCUCGCAUCGAUGAAGAACACAGCGAAAUGUGAUAAGUAAUGUGAAUUUCCGAUUCCAGUGAAUCAUCGAAUCUUUGAACGCAUCUUGCGCUCCUUGCCCUUCCAAGGAGCAUGCCUGUUUGAGUGUCGUUAAACUAUCAAAACACUUUUCUUGGGUGUUUUGGACUUGGGAGUAUCUUGCUGGUCUGUUUGGGCCAGCUCUCCUCAAAAGCAUUAGCUUUGGAGACCAUCAGUGUGAUAAUUUGUUUACACUGACUUGAGUGUCUCAGCUUCUCCUUUUCAAUAAUACCCCUUUGACCUCAAAUCAGGUAGGACUACCCGCUGAACUUAAGCAUAUCAAUAAGCGGAGGCU
rnacentral:misc_RNA from 1 species